rnacentral:rRNA from 1 species
UUGCAGAAUCCCGUGAAUCAUCGAAUCUUUGAACGCAAGUUGCGCCCGAGGCCUAGGUCGAGGGCACGUCUGGCUGGGUGUGAUGAAAGAUCCUAGGGCGCGCCCUCCUCGCCCCGUGCGAGGAGGGCAGCGGAUGUGGUCGUCCGUGUCUCCCGAGGUGCGGUCGCCUGAAAAGUUGCCGUCGAUCGUGUUUUCCGGCUUCUACCCGGACGGAGCGAUGGAUGGUGGUGGUGGUCUGUGCGUUCCCUGCGCUGAGCGCGCAGGAGGUACGUUGGCCCCCUCCCCACCCUUCUCCUUCGGUGCGAUGCGGGACCGAGCGACCGGCGGGGGCGAUGUUCCUCCUYUGCGUCGCGCAUAGGAGGGGUGAUGCUCCCUCUUCGCAGUGACCCCAGCUCAGGCGAGGGUACCCGCCGAGUUUA